AGGUUCAUCUCCAAGUCAUUUAUUAUCUGUUACUUGUACUAUACAAGACAGCUCUCAAGACACUGCUUCUGAUUUUGAUGAAAGCUCUGGAGGAUACUGUUGGUGUGGUGGAAAA